rnacentral:rRNA from 1 species
GAUGAACGCUGGCGGCGUGCCUAAUACAUGCAAGUCGAGCGAACAGAUGAGGAGCUUGCUCCUCUGACGUUAGCGGCGGACGGGUGAGUAACACGUGGAUAACCUACCUAUAAGACUGGGAUAACUUCGGGAAACCGGAGCUAAUACCGGAUAAUAUAUUGAACCGCAUGGUUCAAUAGUGAAAGACGGUUUUGCUGUCACUUAUAGAUGGAUCCGCGCCGCAUUAGCUAGUUGGUAAGGUAACGGCUUACCAAGGCAACGAUGCGUAGCCGACCUGAGAGGGUGAUCGGCUACACUGGAACUGAGACACGGUCCAGACUCCUACGGGAGGCAGCAAUAGGGAAUCUUCCGCAAUGGGCGAAAGCCCGACGGAGCAACGCCGCGUGAGUGAUGAAGGUCUUCGGAUCGUAAAACUCUGUUAUUAGGGAAGAACAAAUGUGUAAGUAACUAUGCACGUCUUGACGGUACCUAAUCAGAAAGCCACGGCUAACUACGUG